rnacentral:rRNA from 1 species
UCCCUACGGGAGGCAGCAGUGAGGAAUAUUGGUCAAUGGGCGGGAGCCUGAACCAGCCAAGUCGCGUGAGGGAAGACGGUCCUAUGGAUUGUAAACCUCUUUAGGCGGGGAGCAAUGCCGGGCACGCGUGUCCGGAGGGAGAGUACCCGCAGAAUAAGCAUCGGCUACCUCCGUGCCAGCAGCCGCGGUAAUACGGAGGAUACGAGCGUUAUCCGGAUUUUUUGGGAUUAAAGGGUGCGUAGGCGGAUUUUUAAGUCAGCGGUAAAAUGUCCGGGCUCAACCCGGGCCGGCCGCUGGAGCUGGGG